AAUAGAUACCCCGGUAGUCCAUGCCGUAAACGUUGGGAACUAGAUGUAGGGCCUGUUCCACGGGUUCUGUGUCGUAGCUAACGCAUUAAGUUCCCCGCCUGGGGAGUACGGCCGCAAGGCUAAAACUCAAAGGAAUUGACGGGGGCCCGCACAAGCGGCGGAGCAUGCGGAUUAAUUCGAUGCAACGCGAAGAACCUUACCAAGGCUUGACAUACACGAGAACGGGCCAGAAAUGGUCAACUCUUUGGACACUGGUGUACAGGUGGUGCAUGGUUGUCGUCAGCUCGUGUCGUGAGAUGUUCGGUUAAGUCCGGCAACGAGCGCAACCCUCGUCCUAUGUUGCCAGCACGUGAUGGUGGGAACUCAUGGGAUACUGCCGUGGUCAACACGGAGGAAGGUGGGGAUGACGUCAAAUCAUCAUGCCCCUUAUGUCUUGGGCUUCACGCAUGCUACAAUGGCCGGUACAAAGGGCUGCGAUACCGUAAGGUGGAGCGAAUCCCGAAAAAGCCGGUCUCAGUUCGGAUUGGGGUCUGCAACUCGACCCCG
rnacentral:rRNA from 1 species